rnacentral:rRNA from 1 species
GUCUGCGGCCACGCCACCCCGGACGCGCCCGAUCUCGUCUGAUGUGGGAAGCUAAGCAGGGUCGGGCCUGGUUAGCCCUUGGAUGGGAGACCACCUAGGAAGACCAGGUGCUGUAGGCG